rnacentral:rRNA from 1 species
ACACGACUACAUUAGAUACCCGCGUAGUCCUAGCCGUAAACGAUACUCGCUAGGUGUCGGCCACGGUGCGACCGUUGUCGGUGCCGUAGGGAAGCCGUGAAAGCGAGCCACCUGGGAAGUACGGCCGCAAGGCUGAAACUUAAAGGAAUUGGCGGGGGAGCACCACAACGGGUGGAGCUUGCGGUUUAAUUGGAUUCAACGCCGGAAAUCUUACCGGGACCGACAGCAACAUGAAGGCCAGGCUGAAGACUUUGCCGGAUUAGCUG